GCAGAUGGUAACUUGUGGUUUUGUCUUUAGGGGCUGCGAGAAGCUGGUGAAGAGCAGCUGUGCUUGUGGUGUUGGGGAAUUAAAACAGCAUGAGUUUGUUCAUGGGCACGUAAGAGUCGUGUGUGCACGUGGGCCAGAGGUUUACUGCCGAGACCUGCUUUGGCACCCCAGCACCGCGCGACUCCCGCAGCCGCCAGCCUUCCCCCAGGCAGACUGGGGCUGCCUCUACCCUUUCCCACAGUGGAGCCUCAAUGCCACACGGUGAUGGUGCAGGAUCUGUUUCAGAAGGCUGAUCUGGUGCUGUCCAAGGAGUUCCACCCCGUGACAUACCUAGACUGAUCCUCCAUUCCAAGUCCUUCCCAGUCGCUGGCACAACAUGUUUGUUGGAUUCCAGAGGGGGAAACUGAGGCACAGAAGAGCGAUGUUCCUUCCUGCUAGAAGCGAGGAUUUCUGGGGCUUCGUGUGAUGUUUGGCCCAUAAGGUCUCCCUACCCUGACCAGUACCUGUGCUGGAGAGGAUGCUGACGCUUCCUGAUGCAGGAUUUGCAGCAAAGCCAGAAAUUUCACGUGUUUAAUGAGCUGAGGGGCAUAGCGUGCUAGCAGCUAUCCCCAGGGCUGGAAGCAAAGCUGCCCCAGCACAGCUCACUGCAACGUGUGAAACAGCCCCGUUCUGCCGUGGGAGAGGAUUUGUGGAGCGAGGACCCGGGACUGCAAUGUGGCACUGGUGCUGCCGUGUCCCCACAAGCUGUUACAGGGACCCGGCUCCAGCCUCCCUCGCUCUCUUGCCCAUCAGAAGUCAUUUCCCUCAAGAAAAAGGGGCUCAGCGCCCUGUUAGUGACGGAUUGCUCUUGCUCUUUCAGGAUGUUGAAAAUCUGCUUUCAGCCCUGUCUGCAGCAAGCGAAAAUCGACGGAGACGCCCCUGUUUGGAUUAACCGAGUCUGGCCUUAAGAAAAUACCUGUUAAGCAUGGCUCAGCAAAGCAAAACAUCCAAGAUAUGUUAGAUCGUGAUGUUAGAUUUAUUAUCAAGGAAACAACCCGUAACUUGUGAGAUGCUGCUCUCCAUCAUAAAUGCAGUCAGACGUUCUUUCAGCGCUAAUGAGGAUGAAGAUUGAUGUCCUCGCCCGUCCUCUCUGCCGGUGCCAGCAAACGCUGGGGUCGUCCCGUCUUUUCUUCUUGAAGCACUUCACGGUUCUGAAAAUUACUGAAGUGAAAUUUUACAAUGAGUGCCUGCUGAUUUGUGACUUUUGUACAUCUAGGGAGCCCGAACAGGGUGAAGGAAACCAGCUUCCAUCCCCGCCCGGUAGUGAGGAAUACAUGGAAGAAGGCAGCAUUCCCUAUGGAAAGGGAGGUUCGGCUGGUUCAACCAGGAAGAGGCACAAGGUUUCAGGAUGUGAGAAGAUUUGAGGAAAGAUUUAUCCCUGCUGAUUGGAAGUGAGAGCAAGUUUUCCAGUCCCAGAUUUCCCCGCUGCUGUCAAAGCCUGGCUGAGAGCAAAUGUCUUCAGCCAUCCUGGUCUGUCCUGCUGACACCACAAGAAUGAGAGUGAGGGAAACCUCACAGCAGAAGACCCUCCCACCUGCUGGCUCUCUCGCUCCCCCCUUGCUGGCGUCAGGAAGCAAGAGCAGAUGGGUGCCAGCCAGCACGGCUGGAGGCUCUGAGAGCACUUGCGGUCCCCGAGCCCUGUCCCAGCAUCCAGACUGCCACGCUGCUGGCUGCCAAAAGAGAUGGAGAACACAAGUAAAAAGGUAGCCUGGCUCAUCACAAACUGUAAGUAGCCAAGCCACCACCUGCGGCGGAUCACGGGCUUGUAUUAGACCCAUCUCCAUGGAGAUUAAACCGCAUUGCCACUCCAGAGGAUCAGCGGGAGAGCUCUGCCGACGGUGGGGCGCGCGGGGAUAAGAGGAAGUUUUGCUCGUGCUGCCUGCCAAGUCUAAUCAGGAUCUUUCCACACCAGCUCCUAUCUAUUGGCCUCUCUGGAACAGACAGACCCGUUCUUCUUGUGCCCCAGGGAGCAAGAAACAUUUCAGGAGUCUUCUACGCUGAUUUUGGAGAGUAAAGCAAACCUGGGAUGAAGAUGCAGCCCAGACACAGACCUUGGGGCUGGGGCAGCAAGUUGAGGCUCUGCGUCGGUGGGAAGCAUCGGCAUCACCGCAGGGAUCGGUUUCCUCUGACUGCCAUCACGGACCGAGGGGAUGUGGCCUCCUUGGAUGGGCAACAUGAAGCAAACACCGUCUGAUGUAAAAUUGCCAGCGAGAAAACCACUUGCUGCAAUUCCGAAUAAAGGAAUGAACGGGAUGGUCCAGGGACGGUGUCAUCUCAAAAGCUUCUCUAAGCCAGCAGCAACAAAGGGAAGUCUAGACCUGGCAAAACCCCUUUGACUCCUGCCUCGAGGUAGCCAAGUCCCCCCCGCCAGCAGCUUCCCGUGGUGGGCGGCUGUGCCAGCGCAUGCCCGGUGCCAAGAGGAUGUGCGAGACAGAGCAUGCUUUGUGUCACGCCUGGCCUGGGCUUGCCUGGUGAGAAGAAACACAGCAGAAAUAUGCUGGGGUCUGACACGUCACCUCGACGGUGAUGCUCUAGCCCUUUGGUCCAGCCCCGGCAGCUGAGACCUGAUGAGGAGCUGAUGGAGUAUCAGGACUGACGCUGGUGGGUCCUUCUGCUGUUUUGUUUUAAUCCAGCUUUGUGUCUUGGCACCUCUGCUGUGACAGUGGUCCUCUCCUCUCCUGUCCAUACAUCAUGCAGGGGAGAAGGUCGGAGCCCAUCACAGAAGUUGGGGAGCUGGAGGUGACAGCAGUGCCUGGGCUGGCUGCAGGUUUGGUCAGCAAGCCUAGAUGCCUUCAAGGUACUUUGCUCCUGACUCCUUCCAAAGCCAUGGAGGUUGCCCACUCAUGGCGAGAUCACCCGCAGAGUCACUCGGGGACACUGACUUUUCUCACACCUUUUCUUUCCAGGUGAUGGGAAACAAAAGAACCCAAGAUAUUUAAGAGCAGGAAGCCAGGUUCUGUAAACUGUCUAAAAAUGUAUCCUCCGGAGAUGAGAUUUCACUCUGGCUCCAAGCCCAAAGGAACGAUCAGUGCUAAUGAAAGAGAGAGCGAGGAAGGGCUGGCGGCGGGGGGAGCAGGCUGUCCUGCUGGAGCAUCCUUACUGUGUCCCCCUGCCUGGGACUGGGACACCCCAGACUGGAUGGGCACAGAGAGACAUUGGAUCUGAACCUGCCUCGGGGAGUAAAGCCAAGUCAGCUUGCUGCAGGGAAGGAAGAAAACUCAGGAUGAGCUUGUGUCUCUGGACUUCGGUCAUGGUUUUUUUUUUUUUUUUUUUACCCCAUCCUUAGUUGGCAGUUCUAGAUGCUGCACACACUCAAAAAGGCUGGGACAGCGCUGUGCUGGAGGCCAAGAGAGAGGCUGGAGUGAAACCGGGGAAUGCCGGCUGCGGUGGGACAGCUUGGGCGCAGCUUUUCUGCGCUGCUCAGACUCUCUGCUCCUCUCCAGGGUUCCCCCCACUUUGCUGCUGAAGAGCCGUCUGAGUGACAACGAUGGGACUCAGGGUAUCCUGAGCAUGCUGAAGUUUCACGGACCAUUAGGAUAUAGAAAAGACGUCCCCAUCGGCCGGGUUCACCGCUCCGGGCUGCCGAGCAGUGGAGAGUGAGUUACGAGCAGGCUCGGAGCCGGGCUGCAGCCUCCAGCGAGGGCGGGAUUGCUCGGGAUGCAGCCGGUGAGGAAGCGCGGGGGAUGCAGCUCUCCCGGGGAUGCGGGGACCCCGAUCUCAGGUUGCUGCCGCUCCGUGACUCCUGUCCCGGGGGACCAUCGCUGCAGAGCUGAGGUGGCUCUUUGCUGCACUCGAGGGACUGUUCUCCUUGUACGGGGUCUGUGGCCCAUGGGGGCGGCCCCUAAACUCCCCUCUGCCCCUGGCACCGCCCAGCACCCUCCUUAAUUAAUUUUGCAGACUACACAGCCGGUUUUGAUGAAAAACAUCCCACAAAAAGCCAAUGAACAGUCACCAAGCAACGCUGCGGCCUCUUUUAAUGAUAUUUUCUUUGUGGCUUUGGUUUGGAAUAUCUUUCUCUUAAAUGAAGAAUGAAGCCUCCUCUUGGACUGAAAGGAUUUGACUUUAUCCCUUCAUUUUCUUGCAUUCCUAAAUUCUCAAAUCCGGCACCUGGGGCUCAAUAGGAGUUUUAAAUUGGCCGCAGCAAGGGCCAGGGUGCUGACCUCUUUAUCUGUUUCCUUUCUGCCAUCUUCUGCGCUGUCCUUGCUUGUGCCACCACUGAUGCAUCCACAUCCUCCAUUCCUUUGGCAUGUCACGCUGGCGUUUUACAAGGGGACAAUGCCCGGCUCGUCUCGCGUGCGGCUGUUCGCAGCAAGCACGGGGGAACCACCGCUGGCAAGCAAGAAGGAUUUGUCCCAUCCCGAGCUGGGACAUGGCAUUCACGUUCACCAGCACUUUCACCAGGUCUAAUCUUGCAGUCGCAUCCUCUGGGAAAGGUGUUUUAUCCAGCGCGAUACAUACGAACCAGCCCCAGGCGCGCUCCUUCCCUGGACCGUUCCAGCUCCUUCCAGUAUGGUUGUAUUUUAUCUGUGGAGCUCUGUAAGGAUUUUGUUCCGUCAUCCUGGAAUUUUUAUGACUCCUUUGUGUGUAUAUAAUGCGA